AUUGAACGCUGGCGGCAGGCCUAACACAUGCAAGUCGAGCGAGCGGCGGACGGGUGAGUAAUGUCUAGGAAACUGCCUGAUGGAGGGGGAUAACUACGGGAUACGGUAGCUAAUACCGCAUACCAUCAGAUGUGCCCAGAGGGGAUUAGCUAGUGGGGGGGGUAAUGGCUCCACUAGGCGACGAUCCCUAGCUGCUCUGAGAGGAGGACCAGCCACACUUGAACGUAGACACGGUCCAGACUCCUACGGGAGGCAGCAGUGGGGAAUAUUGCACAAUGGGCGCAAGCCUGAUGCAGCCAUGCCGCGUGUGUGAAGAAGGCCUUCGGGUUGUAAAGCACUUUCAGCGGGGAGGCGUUACCCGCAGAAGAAGCACCGGCUAACUCCGUGCCAGCAGCCGCGGUAAUAC
rnacentral:rRNA from 1 species